AUGGUUUUACUGCUGUAUCCGCAUGAUUUUUCUAGUGCAUUGUUGCCUUUCGUUUGCCACCCUAAGUAUGAACAAUCUCAAGCGCCCCGUUGGGAACGAGGUAUUUUUUCUGGGAUUAUAUAUUGUUCUGUUUCCUGGAACCACUGCAGAUCCCACGUGAAAUUCCUGUGUUCCAAACCGGCCAGUUUCUAUUCGCAAGUUGUGACUUGUGAGAGCAACAACCGAAAAUUGCUUUUGGAGCUCGGCCUCCAUGAAGGCCGGUUUUUGAAAAGUUCAAAAUUCCCAAAAUUUAAUAUUUUUACAUUUCAAAAAAUUCUGAAAAAAAUACAGACAUACAUGGAGGCAUAA
rnacentral:rRNA from 1 species